GUCGUGUGCUUGAUAGCUUUCGAAGUUCUUUGACUUCCAAAGUAGUAGAAGCUUUGAUUUGCACUCAAGAUUGGUUGAGAGCCGUUCGUGUGCCGAUUAAUGUUGAAGAGUGCAUCGAGAAUGCAGAAAAAUUUGAGUUGGAUAUGGAUUGUCUUAAUGAGGAAAUUAUCGUCGAUAAAUAGAAUUUACGAGUUGAAGCAGAAUGGAUCAAUGAAUACAUGUGGAAAAGAGCAACUCCAAUGGGUACCAUGCAUUUGCUCCUCGAGGAACAACAGUUAAGUCUAAUGACUGAAACUUAGCUCUUUUAGUAAGAAUGUCUUUGUUUAAAAUGUUUAAAUUGAUAGAAGCAGGAUUUAGAGGAGUUGGUGAUGUUCUCUUGCACGACAGCAGCAUCCAUUUCAUUUUGUGAUGUCCUCUGACAAGUCUAGUGACUGAAACUUGGUGACAAGUCUAGUGACUUUUGUUUUGUUUCCUCUCUUUUAUCUAAUUGAAUUCCUUGCCAAACAGCCGCCAA